GGAGAAUUGGCAGAGUGGUCGAAUGCACUGGUCUUGAAAACCAGCGUACCGCAAGGUACCGUAGGUUCGAAUCCUACAUUCUCCGCAA
rnacentral:tRNA from 1 species